AUUCCUCCAGCUGGAACAUACAGCUACUGGGCUGACAAUUACACCCUAUUUGUACUGGCGGAGUGAUCCCUCCAGCUGGAACAUACAGCUACUGGGCUGACAAUUACACCCUAUUUGUACUGGAGAUGGCACUCAUGGGAUUUGCUGAGCACAGAAGAUUCCAGGACUGGGCCAAGCCAGGUUCUAUGGGUAAACAAUACUUUUUGGGGCUAGAGAAAGGCUUGGGAGGCUCUGGAGACCCGGCAUACCCUGGCGGACCUUUCUUUAACCCUCUCGGG
rnacentral:lncRNA from 1 species